UACGUAGGGGGCAAGCGUUGUCCGGAUUUAUUGGGCGUAAAGAGCGUGUAGGCGGCCAUACAGGUCCGUUGUGAAAACUCGAGGCUCAACCUCGAGACGUCGAUGGAAACCGUAUGGCUAGAGUCCGGAAGAGGAGAGUGGAAUUCCUGGUGUAGCGGUGAAAUGCGCAGAUAUCAGGAGGAACACCAAUGGCGAAGGCAGCUCGCUGGGACGGUACUGACGCUGAGGAGCGAAAGCCAGGGGAGCGAACGGG
rnacentral:rRNA from 1 species